rnacentral:rRNA from 1 species
GGCAACGGAUAUCUCGGCUCUCGCAUCGAUGAAGAACGUAGCGAAAUGCGAUACUUGGUGUGAAUUGCAGAAUCCCGUGAACCAUCGAGUCUUUGAACGCAAGUUGCGCCCGAAGCCUUCGGGCCGAGGGCACGCCUGCCUGGGCGUCACGCAUCGCGUCGCCCCCCCACCCCGCUCGA